UAGGUUAGGUUAAGGUUAGGUUAAGGUUAGGUUAAGCAGGUUCUUUGGUCUUGGGUUAGACCUCCAAGCACCAAACAACUUCGCACAGCUUCCAGAGAUGCAGAGUCCCCAGGCCCCGAAGCAGACAUGACGAAAGCCCCAGACUGAGCUGAGCUCAAGCCAUCGCUCCCCUCCUGCUCCUUAGAUUUGAGAACCAGAAGAGACUGAAAAGGAUGAAAUUAAAGCACCAGCUGUUGCUAGGAACGGAGCUUUAGGAGGAAUCGCUGAAUAUUCUGCUGAACCAGAAGAAGCUAUCGAUUACGAAUACAAAGACACCACUGAACAGCCUUCCGUUACUCCUUCACCUGCGAUUGCUCCCCCUGUUGCAAGCUCAGACUGGGCUAGCCAAGCACAAGAGAAAUGGAGCACUAUUGCUAGUCAACCAACCUCUAGCUGGACCGCAGCUAGCAGCGAAUGGCAUUGAUUUUUUUAUCAAUAAAACAUCUUAAUUUGAUCACCAAGGUAAGAUAUCAAAAGAAUCAGGAAGGGAUCACCACCAGCAAUUGAAGAUUGUAUGGAUUCCAGUUGGAGAGGAUGAAGAACAAGAGGUAUGGAAGAAGAAGAGGAUUGGAAGAAGAAAAAGAAUGAAGAAAGAUGAGGAAUGAAGGAAGAAGAGGAGCGAAGAGGGAGAUGAAGAGCAAGACGAAGAAUUUGGGAGAAGAAGAUUACCAGAGAUGAAUGUGAAGAAGAUCUAGAUGAUUAUUGGAUGUGGAAAUCAAUUGGAGUUGGAAAAUAUUCAACCAAAUAGUAUUACAAUGAUGACAGUAAAAAUUCAGACCUCUGACUUUUCUGAGUCAUAAUCCUUCAAAUAUUUGCCCAAAGCAGUCGACAGAAUAUGGUAGGAUAAUAAAAUUCUUUUUUUUAAUAUUCGUUGAAAAUGUUUAAUAUAUCUUUUGAAAUGAUGAUUGCACGUAUUCGAUAUUGUCAAUACUAUUUGAUUUGAAUUAUGUCAAUGAAAAUUAGAUUCAUAAUAAGCUAUUUGACAGUAUAAAAAUAUUGACAUCCUUAUAGGUUAGAUUCUAGAUAUGGAUAUAAAAAAAUUGUUAUUAAUACAAAAAAGCUCAAUGAUCUCGAACAAUUCAAAUCUUUUAUCAAUUUAUGAUAAAUAGGCCGGAAUGGGCGAUCUUACGAGGAUAAUUUGGGGUGACACGUGUUUGGUGGAAAUUUCCUAAUGGUUCAAAUGGCUUAAAAGGUGGCAGUUUGGCUAGCGACGGUUCUGCAUAUGAAUUUCGACAAAAAUUAAGUAUAUAGAUACUCGUGAUAUUUUCAUAAAUUGCAAAAUAAACUUACGUAUUUAUUGAGUCCUUGAUUCAAUUCAAUUUUUCUGACAGUAUCAUAACGUUUAAUUGAUCAUUUUAGGCCGAGUUAUAUUAAUAAUAUAUUUUGAAUGAUUAAUUGAUUAUUUCAGAUAGAAUUGAUAUCCAGGAUUUAAAAGAAAAAAGAUAUUCCUUUCAAAAUUCCGUUUAUAUAACUAAUAUAUACUUUUUCUAAUACUUUUAUAAAUGCCUUCAAUAUAUUCAUUUUUUAUUUAAAUAUGUGGAAAAUUAAUUUUUGAGUUGAAAAUAUGCGGUUUCUUUUAUUGUACUUGUAAUUUUUAUUAUCAAGGUGCUCUAACUAAUGCCAGAUUCCUUGUUCAGAGCAUGCACCUUCAUACUUUCGAAGAAAAAUUUUUAGGUCACAUAUCGGAAAUUGCUUACUCAAUAUUAAU